GUAAUAACUCCGCCUGUAGCUAUUCUAGAGUUACUGCCGGUCCCAAACCCAGAUAAAGGAGGAGGGUUGG
rnacentral:ribozyme from 2 species